GUGUCAGCCGCCGCGGUAAUACGUAGGGGGCAAGCGUUGUCCGGAAUUAUUGGGCGUAAAGCGCGCGCAGGCGGUUCAUUAAGUCUGGUGUUUAAGGCUGGGGCUCAACCCUAGUUCGCACUGGAAACUGGUGGACUUGAGUACAGAAGAGGAAAGUGGAAUUCCACGUGUAGCGGUGAAAUGCGUAGAGAUGUGGAGGAACACCAGUGGCGAAGGCGACUUUCUGGGCUGUAACUGACGCUGAGGCGCGAAAGCGUGGGGAGCAAACAGGAUUAGAUACCCUAGUAGUCC
rnacentral:rRNA from 1 species